GUGGGGAAUCUUAGACAAUGGGCGCAAGCCUGAUCUAGCCAUGCCGCGUGAGCGAUGAAGGCCUUAGGGUUGUAAAGCUCUUUCAGGGGGGAAGAUAAUGACGGUACCCCCAGAAGAAGCCCCGGCUAACUCCGUGCCAGCAGCCGCGGUAAUACGGAGGGGGCUAGCGUUGCUCGGAUUUACUGGGCGUAACGGGCGCGUAGGCGGACAUUUAAGUCAGGGGUGAAAUCCCGGGGCUCAACCUCGGAACUGCCUUUGAUACUGGGUGUCUUGAGGAUGAGAGAGGUGUGUGGAACUCCGAGUGUAGAGGUGAAAUUCGUAGAUAUUCGGAAGAACACCAGUGGCGAAGGCGGCUUCCUGGCACAAUACUGACGCUCAUGUGCGAAAGCUAGGGCAGCGAACGGGAUUAGAAACCCGGGUAGUCC
rnacentral:rRNA from 1 species